UGCACAUCACAAGCCACAUCAUAUAUCAGGCUCUCAGCUCCUUAAUGCAAGUAUUUCCCAUGAGAAGAAAGCUGUCAAGGGCAACACACUUUCCACACGCAGACAUUUCAAGUUAAGAUAAUGACCUCCAGUUCCAUCCAUCUUGCUGCGGAAGACAUAAUUUUAGUCUUUUAUAUGGCUGGAUAAUAUCCCAUUGUAUGACUCAGAAGACACUUACUCCACCUCUGCACUUACGAUGCAGAAGACACUUGCUCCACCUCUGCAGUUACGGUGCAGAAGACACUUGCUCCACCUCUGCAGUUACAAUGCAGAAGACACUUGCUCCACCUCUGCAGUUAGGAUGCACAAGACAGUUGCUCCACCUCUGCAGUUACAAUGCAGAAGACACUUGCUCCACCUCUAAAGUUACGAUGCACAAGACAGUUGCUCCACCUCUGCAGUUACAAUGCAGAAGACACUUGCUCCACAUCUGAAGUUACAGUGCAGAAGACACUUGCUCCACCUCUGCAGUUACAGUGCAGAAGACAGUUGCUCCACUUCUGCAGUUACAAUGCAGAAGACACUGGCUCCACCUCUGCAGUUACAGUGCCGAAGACACUUGCUCCACCUCUGCAGUUACAAUGCAGAAGACAGUUGCUCCACCUCUGCAGUUACAAUGCAGAAGACAGUUGCUCCACCUCUGCAGAUACAGUGCAGAAGACAGUUGCUCCACCUCUGCAGUUACAGUGCAGAAGACACUUGCUCCACCUCUGCAGUUACAGUGCAGAAGACACUUGCUCCACCUCUGCAGUUAUGAUGCAGAAGACACUUGCUCCACCUCUGCAGUUACGAUGCAGAAGACACUUGCUCCACCUCUGCAGUUACGAUGCCGAAGACACUUGCUCCACCUCUGCAGUUACAGUGCAGAAGACAGUUGCUCCACCGCUGCAGUUACAGUGCA